AGAGCACUCUAAAGAGACUGCCGGUGACAAACCGGAGGAAGGUGGGGAUGACGUCAAGUCCUCAUGGCCCUUAUGGGUAGGGCUUCACACGUCAUACAAUGGUACGUACAGAGGGUUGCCAACCCGCGAGGGGGAGCUAAUCUCACAAAACGUAUCGUAGUCCGGAUCGUAGUCUGCAACUCGACUACGUGAAGCUGGAAUCGCUAGUAAUCGCGGAUCAGCAUGCCGCGGUGAAUACGUUCCCGGGUCUUGUACACACCGCCCGUCACACCAUGGGGUGGGGUUUUGCCAGAAGCCGUUA
rnacentral:rRNA from 1 species